rnacentral:tRNA from 1 species
UUAGUUGAAGCCAAAAUAGAGGCAUAUCACUGUUAAUGAUAAAAAUGAAAGUUAUUUCCAGCUAAG